CCUAGACAUAUUAGUCUAACAUUUUAUGAAACCCUAAGUAAAUCUGACAAGUAGUUUUGGAGAAAUGCUGCGGACAAGUUCAUUUUUAAAGUGGCGGAAGAAGAAGAGGAAGAAGAGGAAGAGGAAGAAGAGGAAGAAGAAGAAUAAUAAAAAUAAUAAGAACUGAGCAAAAACAAUAAGUCUCCAAACUUUGUUUGGGAAUUAAUUAAAAAGGGGG
rnacentral:lncRNA from 1 species